AGUCGACGAAGCACCUUGAUUUGAUUCUUCGGAUGAAGAUCUUGGUGACUGAGUGGCGGACGGGUGAGUAACGCGUGGGUAACCUGCCUCAUACAGGGGGAUAACAGUUAGAAAUGACUGCUAAUACCGCAUAAGACCACAGUACCGCAUGGUACAGGGGUAAAAACUCCGGUGGUAUGAGAUGGACCCGCGUCUGAUUAGGUAGUUGGUGGGGUAACGGCCUACCAAGCCGACGAUCAGUAGCCGACCUGAGAGGGUGACCGGCCACAUUGGGACUGAGACACGGCCCAAACUCCUACGGGAGGCAGCAGUGGGGAAUAUUGCACAAUGGGGGAAACCCUGAUGCAGCGACGCCGCGUGAGCGAUGAAGUAUUUCGGUAUGUAAAGCUCUAUCAGCAGGGAAGAAAAUGACGGUACCUGACUAAGAAGCACCGGCUAAAUACGUGCCAGCAGCCGCGGUAAUACGUAUGGUGCAAGCGUUAUCCGGAUUUACUGGGUGUAAAGGGAGCGUAGACGGAGUGGCAAGUCUGAUGUGAAAACCCGGGGCUCAACCCCGGGACUGCAUUGGAAACUGUCAAUCUAGAGUACCGGAGAGGUAAGCGGAAUUCCUAGUGUAGCGGUGAAAUGCGUAGAUAUUAGGAGGAACACCAGUGGCGAAGGCGGCUUACUGGACGGUAACUGACGUUGAGGCUCGAAAGCGUGGGGAGCAAACAGGAUUAGAUACCCUGGUAGUCCACGCCGUAAACGAUGACUACUAGGUGUC
rnacentral:rRNA from 1 species